rnacentral:rRNA from 1 species
UACGUAGGUGGCAAGCGUUAUCCGGAAUUACUGGGCGUAAAGCGCACGCAGGCGGUCUUUUAAGUUUGACGUGAAAGCUCCCGGCUUAACUGGGAGAGGUCGUUGAAGACUGGAAGACUUGAGGCAAUGAGAGGGGUGUAGAAUUCCCGGUGUAGUGGUGGAAUGCGUAGAUAUCGGGGGGAAUACCAGUGGCGAAAGCGGCACCCUAGCGUUAGCCUGACGCUCAUGUGCGAAAGCAUGGGGAGCGAACGGG